rnacentral:misc_RNA from 1 species
CAGAGCUGCUCUUCAUCGCCUCCCCGUCCGCCCCAAAUCCUCCUUCCUUUCUUCGCCGUCCGCCGCCACCGCCGCCCGAAGGAUCUCACGUCUCCCUCAACACUCCCCUCUCGUUUCCGGAUAUCGUGUUUCGAGUAUACAUUCCGAGGCAAGGCCGGCGGUGUCCGUUGCGGUGAAGGAGGAUGAUAGUUCGUUGCAAUCAUGGAAGAUCAAGAUGCUUUAUGACGGUGAAUGUCCGUUAUGUAUGCGCGAGGUGAACAUGCUUAAAGAGAGGAAUAAACACUAUGGAG